ACGGGAGGCAGCAGUGGGGAAUAUUGCACAAUGGGCGAAAGCCUGAUGCAGCGACGCCGCGUGAAUGAAGAAGUAUUUCGGUAUGUAAAGUUCUAUCAGCAGGGAAGAAAAUGACGGUACCUGGCUAAGAAGCACCGGCUAAAUACGUGCCAGCAGCCGCGGUAAUACGUAUGGUGCAAGCGUUAUCCGGAUUUACUGGGUGUAAAGGGAGCGCAGGCGGCGCGGCAAGUCUGAUGUGAAAGCCCGGGGCUCAACCCCGGUACUGCAUUGGAAACUGUCGUGCUAGAGUGUCGGAGGGGUAAGCGGUAUUCCUAGUGUAGCGGUGAAAUGCGUAGAUAUUAGGAGGAACACCAGUGGCGAAGGCGGCUUACUGGACGAUAACUGACGCUGAGGCUCGAAAGCGUGGGGAGCAAACAGGAUUAGAUACCCUGGUA
rnacentral:rRNA from 1 species